rnacentral:lncRNA from 1 species
AUAAUUGGCUGGAUGUCGAUAUCUGAGGUGUUAUUCAGAUUGCAAGAUGUGGAUUACCACACCAUUAUGCUAGGUGUGUGCUACAUCUUUAAAAAUUAGACAUGUCAGGAGAAGACCAAAUAUGGUAUAAUACUUUGCCCCUUACUUUCUAGUACGAAGUAUUUCACAUUAGAAAGUAGAUCUUCUUUUGGAUUCCGAAGUUGUGCUUCGGAGUG